CAUAAUCUUGGUUCACUUGCACUUCACUUGAAGGUUACACAACUAAUAUAUUCAAUUAUUAGGGUAACUUAAAUUUAUAGCGAAACUAUAUCCUACAUGAACCAACAUGUUAGCUAAACUAACUCUUGCUAUUGUGAUUUAAUAAGGUCAGCUACAAAUGGCAACAGUUCCCAACCCUUAGCUUCCAUUUCUCUAGCUUUUAAUUUAUA
rnacentral:lncRNA from 1 species